AAAGUAAUUGGGGAUGAAUAGUCCCGCACUGAUCCAAGCACCUAGCAACAUGGAUUCAAUUGGAGGCCAUAAUCCUAAGCAAAUUAACAAAGGAACAGAAAACCAAAUACAGCAUGUUCUCACUUAUAAGCGGAAGCUAAACCCUGAGCACACAUGGACAUAAAUAUGGAACAGUAGACAGUGCAGACUACUAGAAGGAGGAGGGAGAAAAGAGAGAAUGGGUUGGAAAACUACCUAAUUGGUACCGUGCUCACUCCCUGGGUGACAGGAUCUGUACCCAAAGCUUCGUCAUAACACAAUAUUCCCAUGUAUCAAAC
rnacentral:lncRNA from 10 species